UACGUAGGGUGCGAGCGUUAAUCGGAAUUACUGGGCGUAAAGCGUGCGCAGGCGGUUUUGCAAGCCGGAUGUGAAAUCCCCGGGCUCAACCUGGGAAUGGCAUUCGGGACUGCAAGGCUGGAGUGCGGCAGAGGAGACUGGAAUUCCUGGUGUAGCAGUGAAAUGCGUAGAUAUCAGGAGGAACACCAAUGGCGAAGGCAGCUCGCUGGGACGGUACUGACGCUGAGGCGCGAAAGCGUGGGGAGCAAACAGG
rnacentral:rRNA from 1 species